UACAGAGGUCCCAAGCGUUACUGAGAAUCACUGGGCUUAAAGGGCGCGUAGGCGGUCCGUUAAGUCAGUUGUGAAAUCCCCGGGCUCAACCCGGGAACUGCUUCUGAUACUGGCGGACUUGAGGCCGGUAGGGGUCACUGGAACUGACGGUGGAGCGGUGAAAUGCGUAGAUAUCGUCAGGAACGCCGGUGGUGAAGACGGGUGACUUGGCCGGUUCUGACACUGAGGCACGAAAGCGUGGGGAGCGAACGGG
rnacentral:rRNA from 1 species